GGAAAACAGACUUGCCCAUCAUCUGGGAAAAGAAUGCACUAGAAUAUUAUUUUGUAUCAAUUCUUCACUUACAUGAACAUAACUGUUCUUCUUUUUAAAUUUUAUUUGUAGACAUAAAGAAGAAAUUACCUUUAAUCAUAACCCUUAAGAAUUUUAUGGUUUUUAAAGAUAUAUUAAGAUCCCUAGGACCAGGGAUUCUACCCGUUAUAAAGAAGUAUUUUGUCUGAAGGUCAGAGGAAGAAGAGAGGAUGAAAAUCUCUGAGAACUGACCCAAAGAGAGGUAGGAUCAGUGCUUUGGUGGUGAAGUGGGGAAAAUCCCUGCUUCCAAU
rnacentral:lncRNA from 1 species